rnacentral:rRNA from 1 species
GCUAGAUGUGCGGGUUUAGACCCGCAGCGGAAAGCUCAGUAACACGUGGCCAAGCUACCCUGUGGACGGGAAUACUCUCGGGAAACUGAGGCUAAUCCCCGAUAACGCUUUGCUCCUGGAAGGGGCAAAGCCGGAAACGCUCCGGCGCCACAGGAUGCGGCUGCGGUCGAUUAGGUAGACGGUGGGGUAACGGCCCACCGUGCCCAUAAUCGGUACGGGUUGUGAGAGCAAGAGCCCGGAGACGGAAUCUGAGACAAGAUUCCGGGCCCUACGGGGCGCAGCAGGCGCGAAACCUUUACACUGUACGAAAGUGCGAUAAGGGGACUCCGAGUGUGAAGGCAUAGAGCCUUCACUUUUGUACACCGUAAGGUGGUGCACGAAUAAGGACUGGGCAAGACCGGUGCCAGCCGCCGCGGUAAUACCGGCAGUCCGAGUGAUGGCCGAUCUUAUUGGGCCUAAAGCGUCCGUAGCUGGCUGAACAAGUCCGUUGGGAAAUCUGUCCGCUUAACGGGCAGGCGUCCAGCGGAAACUGUUCAGCUUGGGACCGGAAGACCUGAGGGGUACGUCUGGGGUAGGAGUGAAAUCCUGUAAUCCUGGACGGACCGCCGGUGGCGAAAGCGCCUCAGGAGAACGGAUCCGACAGUGAGGGACGAAAGCUAGGGUCUCGAACCGGAUUAGAUACCCGGGUAGUCCUAGCUGUAAACGAUGUCCGCUAGGUGUGGCGCAGGCUACGAGCCUGCGCUGUGCCGUAGGGAAGCCGAGAAGCGGACCGCCUGGGAAGUACGUCUGCAAGGAUGAAACUUAAAGGAAUUGGCGGGGGAGCACUACAACCGGAGGAGCCUGCGGUUUAAUUGGACUCAACGCCGGACAUCUCACCAGCCCCGACAGUAGUAAUGACGGUCAGGUUGAUGACCUUACCCGAGGCUACAACCGGAGGAGCCUGCGGUUUAAUUGGACUCAACGCCGGACAUCUCACCAGCCCCGACAGUAGUAAUGACGGUCAGGUUGAUGACCUUACCCGAGGCUACUGAGAGGAGGUGCAUGGCCGCCGUCAGCUCGUACCGUGAGGCGUCCUGUUAAGUCAGGCAACGAGCGAGACCCGCACUCCUAAUUGCCAGCAGUACCCUUUGGGUAGCUGGGUACAUUAGGUGGACUGCCGCUGCCAAAGCGGAGGAAGGAACGGGCAACGGUAGGUCAGUAUGCCCCGAAUGGGCUGGGCAACACGCGGGCUACAAUGGUCGAGACAAUGGGAAGCCACUCCGAGAGGAGGCGCUAAUCUCCUAAACUCGAUCGUAGUUCGGAUUGAGGGCUGAAACUCGCCCUCAUGAAGCUGGAUUCGGUAGUAAUCGCGUGUCAGCAGCGCGCGGUGAAUACGUCCCUGCUCCUUGCACACACCGCCCGUCAAAUCACCCGAGUGGGGUUCGGAUGAGGCCGGCAUGCGCUGGUC